CGGGCGUGGCCGGACGCCCUGCCCCGCCCCGCCCCACACAGGGGCCCGCGGCCUGCGCCCUCGGGACGCGCUCCGGAAGCGCGGGAAGCGCCGGCGGGGCGGCAGCGCGACCGCGGGAGUCCGGAGUGAGGGUGAGACCCUGCGAGUGACGGCGGAGCCGGCAGAGAUCAAACCACCGUGACGGUGGCCUGUGUAGGAAGCUUUGACGCGUCUGAAGCCACGGCAACUUCCAGAUCCGCGAGGCCUGUGUGGAGUGUGCACGGGGCCGGCCCGGCCCCUGAAGCCCGAGGAGAGGAAGCGGGCAGCGGGGCGCGGGAGGGCCCGCGGCCCAGACCCGGCUCUGCGGUUCCUACUUGGUGACCUUUAAACUACGGGUUAGUACACGUCCAGUCUUGGGUCUGUGGGAUGGAAACACUCACAGUUACCAAGCCGGCUGCAGAGAAAGUCACCAGGUUUCUGACAAUGAGAGACUGACAGCUAACUUCCCACCCUUUAGAGUAGGCAGAAACGAAGGGUUAUUCAGACCAAGGAACUUACAGCUUCCAAGAGGAGAUUGCUGGAAACCCGAGGCACUUGGAUGACUUUGAGAAAUUGGGGCAACCUUCAUCAGUCAUUCACCAGAAUGGAAGAUGGCAUCAGGACACACACACACACAUUCGGGACACUCAAUGCUAUAGGUAGAAAAGCAUUGUGAAGAAACGUAAUCCAAAAGGACACAUGCCAGAAUUCUCAGAUAUCGGAAACCACAGACAUUCAUGUAUGCUAUAUAGCAUGUCAGCCAUCAUCAAAGGAGGAAGAGGAGCUGGCUGGAUAAUUUUAAAGCAGAAACUAUAUGAUCUAUCUGAAUAGAGUUGAUAAUACAUUCAGAGA